rnacentral:rRNA from 2 species
GGGUUGUAGGACACUCUAUACGGAGUUACAAAGGACGACAUUAGACGAAUCAUCUGGAAAGAUGAAUCAAAGAAGGUAAUAAUCCUGUAGUCGAAAAUGUUGUCUCUCUUGAGUGGAUCCUGAGUACGACGGAGCACGUGAAAUUCCGUUGGAAUCUGGGAGGACCAUCUCCUAAGGCUAAAUACUCUCUAGUGACCGAUAGUGAACCAGUACCGUGAGGGAAAGGUGAAAAGCACCCCGGAAGGGGAGUGAAAUAGAACCUGAAACCGUGUGCUUACAAGUAGUCAGAGCCCGUUAAUGGGUGAUGGCGUGCCUUUUGUAGAAUGAACCGGCGAGUUACGAUUUGAUGCAAGGUUAAGCAGUAAAUGUGGAGCCGUAGCGAAAGCGAGUCUGAAUAGGGCGUUUAGUAUUUGGUCGUAGACCCGAAACCAGGUGAUCUACCCUUGGUCAGGUUGAAGUUCAGGUAACACUGAAUGGAGGACCGAACCGACUUACGUUGAAAA